UACGAAGGGGGGCUAGCGUUGUUCGGAAUUACUGGGCGUAAAGCGCACGUAGGCGGAUACUUAAGUCAGGGGGUGAAAUCCCCGGGGCUCAACCCCCGGAACUGCCCUUUGAUACUGGGUAUCUCCGAGUCCGGAAGAGGUGAGUGGAAUUCCCGAGUGUAGAGGUGAAAUUCGUAGAUAUUCGGAGGAACACCAGUGGCGAAGGCGGCUCACUGGUCCGGUACUGACGCUGAGGUGCGAAAGCGUGGGGAGCAAACAGG
rnacentral:rRNA from 1 species